CUACGGGAUGCUGCAGUGGGGAAUAUUGCACAAUGGAGGAAACUCUGAUGCAGCAACGCCGCGUGGAGGAUGACACUUUUCGGAGCGUAAACUCCUUUUAUAUAGGAAGAAGAUGACGGUACUAUAUGAAUAAGCGCCGGCUAACUCCGUGCCAGCAGCCGCGGUAAUACGGAGGGCGCAAGCGUUACUCGGAAUCACUGGGCGUAAAGAGCGUGUAGGCGGAUUAAAAAGUCAGAAGUGAAAUCCUAUAGCUUAACUAUAGAACUGCUUCUGAAACUCUUAAUCUAGAAUAUGGGAGAGGUAGAUGGAAUUUCUGGUGUAGGGGUAAAAUCCGUAGAGAUCAGAAGGAAUGCCGAUUGCGAAGGCGAUCUACUAGAACAUUAUUGACGCUGAGACGCGAAAGCGUGGGGAGCAAACAGGAUUAGAUACCCCCGUAGUC
rnacentral:rRNA from 1 species